rnacentral:misc_RNA from 1 species
UCUCCGUUGGUGAACCAGCGGAGGGAUCAUUACCGAGUUUACAACUCCCAAACCCCUGUGAACAUACCAUUUGUUGCCUCGGCGGUGCCUGCUUCGGCAGCCCGCCAGAGGACCCAAACCCUUGAUUUUAUACAGUAUCUUCUGAGUAAAUGAUUAAAUAAAUCAAAACUUUCAACAACGGUUCUCUUGGUUCUG